GCAGCUGCGCGGCGUCCUUGGAGGCAGGUGCUGGCGGCAAGACGAGCUCUCGGAGGAUGCUGCGGCGCGGGGCGCGUCGCCCCCCUCAGUCCACCAGAGCCCGGAUACCUCAGAAAUUCGGCUCUGGGUCUGUGGGGAGCGAAAUGCAACCCAAACCCCGUUUUUCGAACCCCGCGCAAAUAAACACGCACAAGCACGCACACAGACGUCGCGCGGCGGCGCUCGCGCGCAGGUCCAGCCGCGGCUGGGUCGGGCGCGGCGGCCGGGCGCGAGGGAAGAGCCCAGGCCCGAGAGGGGUCGCCGCUUACGUCUCGCAGCCCGAGGGGAGGCCGCUCGGCCUCGGCCGCUCACAGGCGCGACGUAAAGGCCCGGCGUCACCGGCCCGGCUUAACGGUGCAACGGCUGGCCUGGGCCUGCAACUCUGGGGUCCCGGCCGGGCUGGAGCGGCCGCCGGAGAGACCUGGUAGGCGGGGCGCUUGGGGCAGGAAGGGAGCCGGGGAGGGAAAAGCGCGACUGUGAUUCGUACGGCUGGGCCCGGACCGUGAAGGGGACCGGGUUGCGGCUGCCCUCACACCGACCAGGUGGGACCGUCGGACUGCGGCCGCCCUUGGCUCAACUGGGUCGCCGACCUUGUUGAGGGGCGACCACUGCGGGGAGACCGAGAGCCUGCGGCUGGCGUUUGAGGCGGAUGGCAGUGCCCUGAGCGCGGCGGCUGGGUCUCGGUGACACUGACGACGGGAGGCGCGGUCGGAAGAGCGCGGGGCCGUCGCCUCUGGCUUAACAUAGCAGAUGCGCUGAGACUCCAACAGGUGGCUCCGUGGCGCAAUGGAUAGCGCAUUGGACUUCUAGAGGCUGAAGGCAUUCAAAGGUUCCGGGUUCGAGUCCCGGCGGAGUCGUAACGCUUUUUUCCCUCCCCCCUACAAUUUAUUUUCUGCCUCCAUCAUGUCUCUUAUUUUUUUUUUUUGCUAAACGGUUUAACUUCUCUCUCAUUCCCUGCUCUCGCAGUUCACUGCAUUCGGUUCUUGCGGUCCUUUCUUAAGCGGCUCGCAGGGUCCCGAGCCCCUCAGCUCCCCGGGCCUCGGUGGCCCAGGGCCCAGCUCAGCCGACUGGGCAGUCGAUGUAGGUCCUGAGAAGAGCGGCGGCGGCGGCGGCGGCGGCGGCGAAGGAAAAGCGACACUGAAGCGAAGGCUCGCGGUUUCGGCCUAAAGGAAAGUGCAGGGGAGGCCCGGGUCUCGGGUGACACCCCCACGCCUUGAGCGGGACUGUGGUUGCGAGGGAGGGACGAGAAAACACGCCUACGCCCUGCGUGCGCUGUGCUGACUACCUCUCCAGCAUGGAGGCUUCCAGAUGAGCAGACACCCGAAUCCCAGCGGGAGCCCGUCAAAAAUGGAGAUUUCUGCCGUCACUCUGGGACUCUUAAUUCGGUCCGUCUGGGGUGGGGCCCAGGAAUCUGCAUUUCUGAUAAGGUCACCCGCUCCCCUCCCCCAUUAUUCCAGUGCAAAGAGGUCCUAGGCCCAGUGCCCAUCAGCUCCUCAAGACAGGAAUUACUAUAUCUUUUUCUGACAACUGUUAACUUUGUACAAGGUUAGCAAAUAAAUCCAGGAAUGAAUG
rnacentral:lncRNA from 1 species